UCUCACUUGACUGUUCUAUUUUGUUUUGAUAUUUUUACUAAAAAAAUUAAAAAAAAGGGGGAACCCUAACCGCUGUCUUCUUUUUUCUUAUUUCUUUAACUUAAUCGCCGCUCAUAAAGUUUAAUCUCUCAUCUCCUUCCUCAAAUCAAAUAUUUCCUCACUUCUCCUCCUUAUCAGAUUUAAUUAACUCUAAAUUUAAGAGGUAAAAAUGUAAAAUGAAGGAGUUAUUUAUAUUCACUCACAAUCAUAGUGUUUCGUUUCGAAAUUGAGUUGUUGGAAUCCACAACAACUAGAUCAGAUUCGCACGAGUGGUUUGUAUUCACUCAAAAUCACAUUUCCGCCAUACCAAAUCGGAUCGUUUACAAGUAAUUUCAGCACAUUCAAAGUUAAAAUUGCAUUAUUUCAGAAGUUUGAAUAUACUACAGACAGGAUAAGAGGAAGAGUGUGGAAAAGAUUUGGGCCAGGGGAUACAUAGUAAUUUAUAAAGUAUUGAAGAUUGAAGAACCUCUUCAAUACGAAGGAGACUACCACGAGUAUAAUUGAAUCAAGGUUGGCAUUUCAAAUUGAAGCUAUGGACGAUGGGGUAGCGUUUAUGGAGCUAGUGGAAUUGACUAUAUCUCUAAUUUAUACUAUACUUGUAUUAGUUUUGUAUAUCGAGUUUUGAUUUUUUAAUUUUAAUUUUGUGAAUUGUUUAUACUCUGUAAUUUUGAAUUAUAAGUGAUUGAAGGUUAAGUUUGUUUACUUAAUGAAUUCAUAUGCUUUGUAGUUUCUGA